AGGUGAGGGAAUACCACAGCCUGCCGUGCCUCCCCAGAAUCCAGGCUCAGGACCAACAGGUGAGGGUAUCGGGACAAACAGCUCCACCCCCGAAAUACGUCACACGGACUCAGGAAUGAAAGAACCUCCUGGACCCACGUCAGCCCUAGGCCCAGG